ensembl:lncRNA
CUGAUGAAUCAGGUCUGACAUUACUCAUAUGGGUUUGGAUAGAAGACGCUUUCUGGAACAUUCUGAAGCUGAAAAAAAACCCACGAUGAUGGUAAUCAAAAGGGGCCCCGUGCCCGAGCCCUCCGGAGAACCCACUGAGGAGAACGUGGAAACUCCACUCAGAAAGGUGCUGAGCGGGUUGAAACCCAGGACCUUCUUGCUGUGAGGCGACAGUGCUGACCACCCCUCAUCACAGGGCUGCCUAAUGUAUUCACAUUCAGUGAUUCAUCUCUGGUCCCGGCAAAGGAAACACUUCAACAAUCGCCAGAUGAG